rnacentral:rRNA from 1 species
GUAGGUGGCAAGCGUUGUCCGGAAUUAUUGAGCGUAAAGCGCGCGCAGGCGGUUCUUUAAGUCUGGUGUGAAAGCCCACGGGCUCAACCGUGGAGGGUCAUUGGAAACUGGAGAACUUGAGUACAGAAGAGGAAAGCGGAAUUCCACGUGUAGCGGUGAAAUGCGUAGAGAUGUGGAGGAACACCAGUGGCGAAGGCGGCUUUCUGGUCUGUAACUGACGCUGAGGCGCGAAAGCGUGGGGAGCAAACAGGAUUAGAUACCCUGGUAGUCCACGCCGUAAACGAUGAGUGCUAAGUGUUAGGGGGUUUCCGCCCCUUAGUGCUGCAGCUAACGCAUUAAGCACUCCGCCUGGGGAGUACGGCCGCAAAGGCUG